GCGGCAGGGUUCCGAUCCAGCUCCAGAGCCCGCCCCAAAGACCGUGCCUUCCUGCUUCGCCUUGCCUCUGAACGGACCACUCAGGGAAGAGGAAGCUUCACAGUACAGGAUGAGGCAGCGGGGGGAAGCAGAAGAGCAGCGAAUGGUGAUAAGCUGGAUCCUCCUGUGCUUGGGGACAGCAGCAGCCUGGCUACCCAGGGGGAAGACGGAAUGCCCGUCUCCUGUCACAGCGAGGCCCAUGGAUAUAAACCCCGGCGGUCCAGAAGGACACAGGACCCAAACUGGUCAAAGGAAAUCGGGCGUAGCGUUCAUCUUGUGGUUUGAUUGGCUUGGUGAUGGGGGACAUGACCUAAGCUGGCCCAAUCAUGGACUAACAGCCUCCUGGUGGCCUGGGAUGGAUGAGCAAGCUGCUGCUUUCCUAGGGACUGAUGAGUCUGGAACCAGAGCACCGGCUCCUUAUAUAAAGAUCCUCUCAACCCUGCAGACCGAACCAGAGGACAGACAGCACGCUUCAGGGUGCCAUGUGGUGGGCAAGGACUGGCCUCUCUGACCCUGACCCUGGCUUGCAGCAGUUGGUACAAACUGUCCUGGGGGAGGAAGGGAGUCACGACACCAAGCUUUGAAAGUACACACCGGAGUUAAAAACCAAACCAGACUGUGUCAUUUGUUCUCCUUAAAACCCUUUCCUGGCUCCCUGGAGCUGUGGAAGAAAGUCCAAAUCUCUAACAAUGGCCAGCAGGCCUAGGACAGCCAGCCUGCUGACUUCCCAUCACUCUGCUCAGGCCACGCAGGGCUCUGGUGCCUCCACCACAUCUCAGCUCCGUCCCAUCUCAGGCCCUUUGUACAGGCUGCACUCCCUGCUCACAAAAUGCCCUGGCCUCCAGUCCACCCUGGGCAAGUUCCUAUUUAUCUUUCAAGUCUAGACUUGCUGGCACCUUGGAGAAGCCAUCUCAGACCCUCCUAGCCUCCCCCAGCCUCAAAGAAGACCCCCACUUCAUACCCUGUUAGUCUCUCAAGGAACUCUGGGCUCUUAGAGUUUAAUUACCAUUAAAUUACGUGUUUAUUGGAGUGGUUAUUUGCUACCUGUCUUCCCCACUAGAUGGUGAGUGCCAUGAAGUCAGAAUAAUGGUAAUAAUAUUAUUACUUUUAACAACAGCUCCCAUUUAUUAACACCUACUGUGUUGUACAGCAUUACCUCACAGCAUUACCAACAGCUCUUUGAGGUCAACACCACUAUUAUCCCACUUUAGAGCUGAGGAAGCUGUGUCAGUCCUGCCCACGAGACCAGGCACUCAGUAAAUGGUCUGGGACCACCCACGAGUCUGGAUUACAGUUCUGAUCACUCCUUCCCCGUAAUCCCAACCAGGGAGUCCACGGGGCACUGAAGUCCCUGUCCAUAAGGCAGAUUUCUGCCACUCCCUGGGGCAAGAGCCUCUGAUUCCAAGGGCCCCUUUCAGUUCUAACCCCAUCCCAAUCUGAGAAGACAUUAAUUUU